rnacentral:misc_RNA from 1 species
AUUACAAAGUAGUUUGACUUAUAAAAUUCAAAAAGUCAAAAUUCAAAAGCACAUAAAACAUGUACGACUAUGGUACGUAAAUAAAUAUAUAUUACAUGCAUCCAAUAUAUAAAUAUUUCAACAACUUCACGAGAUAUACAACUACGUGAAGUUAAUGGCACAAAACACAAAACAAAAUAAGAUCCCUUUGUGGCUUUAAUUACUACUUCUUUAAAACUCUUCAAUUUAUUCUGAUCCCAUGGGCCUUUUCCUUCUUAAUUAUUCCUCUUGACCUCGUUCGAGAUUGUGAAACUAGUAGUGGCUAGGAGGAGGUGGAGAAGUGUAAUAGUAAGGGGCUGGAGACUUGUGAACGGGAGGUGGGGGUGAUUUGUAUUUGUAAACGGGUGGUGGU